AUUUAUAUAGUUUAAAAAUAAAAACAUUAUAUUUUCAUUAUAAAAAAAAUAAUUUUAUUUAUUUAUAAAUU
rnacentral:tRNA from 1 species